GACGAACGCUGGCGGCGUGCUUAACACAUGCAAGUCGAACGGAAAGGCCAUGAUUUUGUGGGGUGCUCGAGUGGCGAACGGGUGUGUAAAACGUGAGUAAACUGCCCUUGACUUUGGGAUAACAUUAGGAAAAAGGGGAUAAUAUACGAUAGGAUAUACUGCAGCAUGGUGGGGGAUGGAAAGAUUCGGUGGUUGGGGCUGGUCUCGAGGCUUAUCGGCUUGUUGGUGGGGUAGUGGCUUACCAAGGCUUUGACGGGUAGCCAGCCUGAGAGGGUGAACAGCCACAAUGGGACUAAGGGACGGCCCAGACUGCAACGGUAGGCAGCAGUGGGGAGUAUGGCGCAAUGGGCGGAAGCGUGAUGCAGCGACCCCGCGUGCGUGAAGACCGCCUUCGGGGUAAGAACCACUUUCUCCUUAGACGAGGCGGGAUUGACGGUAACUGAUAAGAAAGCACCGGCUAACUACGUG
rnacentral:rRNA from 1 species